UGAAAUUCAAAGUAAAGUUGUAAGUCUAAUUCUCCAAUAUCUACUUGAAAUUUACGGUUACUUAGCGAGUUGAUUGCUUUAGAUUUUUAUUUUAUUAGAUUAAAUUAAUUAUAAUCAUUAAUUUGAGUAGUUUAAUAAAAUUGAAAUAAUAUAAAACUGGUGAUUGUUAGAUUAAAUUUCAUACUAGUCUCUGUGGGAACAAUACUUUUCUCAUCAUUAUAUUACUUGUUGACCACGUAUACUUGCGUGUUGAGCAUAUCUAGAAUUUAUACCAACAAGGUGCGCAAACUCAGAAGACUCAGUAGGCAGCUACGUCAUUUUUGUCCUUGAUACCUCUGCAGUUGUGCCAGUACGCAGACAGGGACUCUGCAAUCUACUUGUUGCACUGUUCUUCAGGCAAAAACCCAUGAAUUUUACUAUACAAAUAGCAAAUUAAACACACUCAAAAACUAUAAACUUAACCAAAACAACCUUCAACAUAUAUAACUUGAUUCUAAAACAAAAAUAGUUUAAACAUCCAAUUUAGAGCCUUAAAAAUCAUGAUUCAUGUUAGUUUAUCAAAAUUCAACACAUUAAGCGAAUACCUUCACCACAGAUUCGUUUCUUGACCAAAUCACUCCAUUUAAUAUGCAUUCUUUUAGUAUUUCGAUGUCUUAACAUAAACAAUUGUCAACUUACUGAUUAAUACAUGAUUCAACCACCAAUUUUAGUCUCAAAGUAGACCAUAAUAUACAUAUUAUAACAAAAACCAAUUUCUUCAAUUUAAAACAUCCUUCCAUGGAUUUGAUAUACCAAAAAUCAUUUAUAAACACCAAACAACAGAUUAUAUAUACUAGUUAACACAUAUAACCAAUUUCCUCACAAAUUAGCCAUAGAAACUCAAUUAUAGAGAAUUUUUAGAAAAUAAAACUAAAAUUAGAACUUACGGUUUUACCUAUGAUUCUUAUAAUAGAUAACUAGCAAGAUGAUGUAGAAAGCCUUGGCAAUCUUCCACUUCCUUCUUGAUUCUCAAUUUCACAGAGAAUUCCUUCUCUCAAUUCCUCUAUGUGCUUUGUAUUUGUCAGACUUGAGCAAUAUAGUAUAGUACGUAUAAUAUGAGAUUGAUAUAGCCACUGCAUAAAAUUGCUUAACGUGGGUAUCAGGUAGGCGAACAUGGUCUCAACAGUUGUCACGUUCUAAAGGGCCUUGUUUGGCUAGCUCUUAAAGAAUCCCUUUUAAUUUAUUUUUAUUUUCUUCUUAUUAUAUGGUACAAAAUGUCACACUUUAAUUAAUCAAAUUCUAAUAUUUAGAUUCAAUUUAAUUAAACUUAAUGUUAACUCAUUAAAUCAAAUAGCCACAUGAUUAUAAUUUCUAACUUAUUAAAUCUCUAAUUUAAUCAUUAAAUUAAAUUAGAACAUCUCCAUUUCACAACAUUGUAAUUAUAUAACAAUUCACUUAUUCUUUAAUUUAAUUAAUUAAAUUACAUUAAAACACAACCAUCAUAUUAGCGCAAUAAAAUACGCAAAACUCAUAAAAUUAUUUAACAUCAACUUAAUUAAUAUUAUCAUACUCAAUUAAAUUACUCCACAACAAUUUCAUCAAUUAUUUAUUUUAUUCAAUAAAUAAAUCAACUAAAAUAUUUAUUUAAUUCAAUAAAUAUUUUAAAUUAAAUACAAAAUUCUCGAUCGUUACAUAGUCUAAGUAUGCACUUGGAGAUCAUGUAUAGAGACAUCAACUGAAAAAUCCUCAAAAAUAAUGUACCCUAGCUUGUGAAUUAGCACCGAUUUAAGUGAGAGAUAUAACAUCUGGUAACAAUCUCAAAUUGGAGACUAUUCAACAUUCACUCUUAAUGAGUGAAUGUCAAAUGGUUUCUAAGCUCCAACCUAUACUACAUGCUCAGUUAUAUAUACAAUUUAUUCUAAUUGUGAAAAACUAAGCAAAUGCUACUUAGUUUAUUUUUUUAAUAAUAAACUAAGUAAAUGCUACUCAGUUUAUAAGAACUAUUAUAUAUAUGAAUAUAUUAUACUAUUUUAACUUUACUUUUUAACAGUAGAACUAAGUAAAUGUUACUUAAUUUAUUAUAUUAUGUUAUAGUACUUUAUUUUAAUUAAAUUAUUAUCAAUUUAUUUUAUUUAUUUAUUUUGUAGUAUAUUAUAUUAUAUUAUAUUAUAUUAUAUUAUAUUAUAUUAUAUUAUAUUAUAUUAUUUAGAUUAAUUAAUUUUAUUUAUUUAUUUUAUUUUAUUUAUUUUGUAUUAAUUUAUGGUAUAUUACAUAUUAUAUUAUUUUAUAUUAUUUUAUUUUAUUUUAUUUUAUUUUAUUUUAAUUAAUUAAUUUUAUUUAUUUAUUUAUUUCAUUUUAUUUUAUUUUAUUUACUUUAUUUUCUGUUAUAUUACAUAUUUUAUUUUAUUUUAUUUAUAUGUUAUUAUAUUUAAAUUAAUCUAAAUUUAUUUAAUUUAAUGUAUUUAAUUUUUAUUUAUUUAUGUUAGUUUAGUUUAUUAUAUUGUGAAUUAUAUUAUAUAAUAAUGGAUAUUAUAUUAUUUAAUAUAAUUGUAUUAAUUAAAUAUUUUAAUUUAUUUUGUUUGUUUAUUUAUAUGUUAUUAAAUUAAAUUAAAUUUAUUAAUUUAUAUUUAUAUUCUAUUAUAUUAUUUUUAUUAUUUAGUAGUGCAAAACUAAGUAAAUGCUACUUAAUUCAUUUCAUUUUAUUGUAUUAAUUAGUAGAUAGUAAACUAAAUAAAUACUACUUAGUUUAUUUUAAUAUUGGCAAACUAAAUAAAAUAUAUAAAAAAAAGCAGGACCUACAUAUAUUGCAAUUGAAUAAUUCUAACAGAAAUUCCAUCAGAAAUCACAAAUAUACCAAACCAAGUAAAUCUCAAGUAGUAUAUAGGCAGACAUUACUAUAUACCAAAAUCAUAUACUAAAAUCAAUAUUAGUCCCAAAAUAAUCAUAUACCAAAACUCAAUAUCAGUCCCAAAAUGAUUAUAUACCAAAAUCAUAUAUAAGCUAGGUAUAGUCCCAAUUCAUAUUAAAUCACAGAAACAUAUAACAUAUGACUGAAUUUUAAUAUAGGCAUGAUAUUGGUAAUAACAGAAAUUAGGGGAUAAUUUUUAUGCCCUAAUUUCUGAUAAUUUUUGUUAAUAACAGAAAUUAACGGAAAUUAGGGCAUAAAUUAGGGGAUUCUGCCUUAACGUGUUUAUCAGAAACUUGUUUUCACAUACAAAUUUAUUUACUUGACUAAUAAUUAGGCCAUAAAAUUAUUGGUAAUGACUGAAAUUCCAAAUUAGGGUAGAUGAAUUUCAUGGAUUAAAUUAGCUAAAUGAAAACUCACUAACCUUUAAAAUUUAAUGCUAAGCUAAAUUAAUGGUAAUGGAGGAGGAGCUCGGAAACACCACCACAGUGCCGCCACCAUUGCUGCCACGACCAGACAAACUCGACUUAGAGAGAAGGACGAGAUUGAGGUCUGAAAUGGAAGAGAAGAAGGGAAGGACUAAAAUGAAAGUGAGAGGGAAGAUGAGAGAUGCUUAGAGAGAGACAAAGAGAGAGAGAGAGCUUGAUGAGAGAGUGUGAGAGAUAAGAGAGGUGAAAGAGAAUUGAUAGAGCUGUUGAAUGGAGGUGGCUAGGGAAACAGAACAU
rnacentral:lncRNA from 1 species